rnacentral:rRNA from 1 species
GACGAACGCUGGCGGCGUGCUUAACACAUGCAAGUCGAACGGAAAGGCCCUGCUUUUGUGGGGUGCUCGAGUGGCGAACGGGUGAGUAACACGUGAGUAACCUGCCCUUGACUUUGGGAUAACUUCAGGAAACUGGGGCUAAUACCGGAUAGGAGCUCCUGCUGCAUGGUGGGGGUUGGAAAGUUUCGGCGGUUGGGGAUGGACUCGCGGCUUAUCAGCUUGUUGGUGGGGUAGUGGCUUACCAAGGCUUUGACGGGUAGCCGGCCUGAGAGGGUGACCGGCCACAUUGGGACUGAGAUACGGCCCAGACUCCUACGGGAGGCAGCAGUGGGGAAUAUUGCGAAAUGGGCGGAAGCCUGAUGCAGCAACGCCGCGUGCGGGAUGACGGCCUUCGGGUUGUAAACCGCUUUCGCCUGUGACGAAGCGUGAGUGACGGUAAUGGGUAAAGAAGCACCGGCUAACUACGU